rnacentral:rRNA from 1 species
GACGAACGCUGGCGGCGUGCUUAACACAUGCAAGUCGAACGGAAAGGCCCUGCUUUUGUGGGGUGCUCGAGUGGCGAACGGGUGAGUAACACGUGAGUAACCUGCCCUUGACUUUGGGAUAACUUCAGGAAACUGGAGCUAAUACCGGAUAGGAGCUCCUGCUGCAUGGUGGGGGUUGGAAAGUUUCGGCGGUUGGGGAUGGACUCGCGGCUUAUCAGCUUGUUGGUGGGGUAGUGGCUUACCAAGGCUUUGACGGGUAGCCGGCCUGAGAGGGUGACCGGCCACAUUGGGACUGAGAUACGGCGCAGACUCCUACGGGAGGCAGCAGUGGGGAAUAUUGCACAAUGGGCGGAAGCCUGAUGCAGCAACGCCGCGUGCGGGAUGACGGCCUUCGGGUUGUAAACCGCUUUCGCCUGUGACGAAGCGUGAGUGACGGUAAUGGGUAAAGAAGCACCGGCUAACUACGUG